rnacentral:rRNA from 1 species
CCAGACUCCUACNGGAGGCAGCAGUGGGGAAUUNUGGACAAUGGGCGAAAGCCUGAUCCAGCAAUGCCGCGUGUGUGAAGAAGGCCUUCGGGUUGUAAAGCACUUUUGUCCGGAAAGAAAUCCUUGGCUCUAAUACAGUCGGGGGAUGACGGUACCGGAAGAAUAAGCACCGGCUAACUACGUGCCAGCAGCCGCGGUAAUACGUAGGGUGCAAGCGUUAAUCGGAAUUACUGGGCGUAAAGCGUGCGCAGGCGGUUUGCUAAGACCGAUGUGAAAUCCCCGGGCUCAACCUGGGAACUGCAUUGGUGACUGGCAGGCUAGAGUAUGGCAGAGGGGGGUAGAAUUCCACGUGUAGCAGUGAAAUGCGUAGAGAUGUGGAGGAAUACCGAUGGCGAAGGCAGCCCCCUGGGCCAAUACUGACGCUCAUGCACGAAAGCGUGGGGAGCAAACAGGAUUAGAUACCCUGGUAGUCCACGCCCUAAACGAUGUCAACUAGUUGUUGGGGAUUCAUUUCCUUAGUAACGUAGCUAACGCGUGAAGUUGACCGCCUGGGGAGUACGGUCGCAAGAUUAAAACUCAAAGGAAUUGACGGGGACCCGCACAAGCGGUGGAUGAUGUGGAUUAAUUCGAUGCAACGCGAAAAACCUUACCUACCCUUGACAUGGUCGGAAUCCUGAAGAGAUUCGGGUGUGCUCGAAAGAG